GUGCUUGCACCUUUCAAGCGAGUGGCGAACGGGUGAGUAACACGUGGAUAACCUGCCUCAAGGCUGGGGAUAACAUUUGGAAACAGAUGCUAAUACCGAAUAAAACUUAGUAUCGCAUGAUAUCAAGUUAAAAGGCGCUACGGCGUCACCUAGAGAUGGAUCCGCGGUGCAUUAGUUAGUUGGUGGGGUAAAGGCUUACCAAGACGAUGAUGCAUAGCCGAGUUGAGAGACUGAUCGGCCACAUUGGGACUGAGACACGGCCCAAACUCCUACGGGAGGCUGCAGUAGGGAAUCUUCCACAAUGGGCGCAAGCCUGAUGGAGCAACGCCGCGUGUGUGAUGAAGGCUUUCGGGUCGUAAAGCACUGUUGUAUGGGAAGAAAUGCUAAAAUAGGGAAUGAUUUUAGUUUGACGGUACCAUACCAGAAAGGGACGGCUAAAUACGUGCCAGCAGCCGCGGUAAUACGUAUGUCCCGAGCGUUAUCCGGAUUUAUUGGGCGUAAAGCGAGCGCAGACGGUUGAUUAAGUCUGAUGUGAAAGCCCGGAGCUCAACUCCGGAAUGGCAUUGGAAACUGGUUAACUUGAGUGUUGUAGAGGUAAGUGGAACUCCAGGGUGGUAGCC
rnacentral:rRNA from 1 species